UACGUAGGGGGCUAGCGUUGUCCGGAAUCAUUGGGCGUAAAGCGCGCGUAGGCGGCCCGGUAAGUCCGCUGUGAAAGUCAAAGGCUCAACCUUUGAAAGCCGGUGGAUACUGCCGGGCUAGAGUCCGGAAGAGGCGAGUGGAAUUCCUGGUGUAGCGGUGGAAUGCGCAGAUAUCAGGAGGAACACCAAUAGCGAAGGCAGCUCGCUGGGACGGUACUGACGCUAAGGCGCGAAAGCGUGGGGAGCGAACAGG
rnacentral:rRNA from 1 species